rnacentral:rRNA from 1 species
GUGGGGAAUCUUGCGCAAUGGGCGAAAGCCUGACGCAGCCAUGCCGCGUGAAUGAUGAAGGUCUUAGGAUUGUAAAAUUCUUUCACCGGGGAAGAUAAUGACGGUACCCGGAGAAGAAGCUCCGGCUAACUUCGUGCCAGCAGCCGCGGUAAUACGAAGGGGGCUAGCGUUGCUCGGAAUUACUGGGCGUAAAGGGCGCGUAGGCGGACAGCUUAGUCAGAGGUGAAAGCCCAGGGCUCAACCUUGGAAUUGCCUUUGAUACUGGCUGUCUUGAGUUUGGGAGAGGUGAGUGGAACUCCGAGUGUAGAGGUGAAAUUCGUAGAUAUUCGGAAGAACACCAGUGGCGAAGGCGACUCACUGGCCCAAUACUGACGCUGAGGCGCGAAAGCGUGGGGAGCAAACAGGAUUAGAAACCCUAGUAGUCC